rnacentral:lncRNA from 1 species
CUGGUGGAGCCAGCCAGGGCUGGUCAGUGGUCAUCUGCAGCUGAGUGGGGACGGAGCGCGGCAGGACAUCCCUGCACAGCAGCGCUCUGACAGGAGCAGCAGUGGUCUCCUCUCAGUGGCCUCAUUGGUGCAGCAGCUGCUGAAGACCACGGUGGCUACAGAGAUGCUUUUUGCUCUGCAAUCCCUUUGUACUCAAAGGCCAGGCUGGGCAUUUCACCUGGGCUGGAAGGCCUGGCUGGGCAGGGAGCAGGCAAGAAGCACUGCUGUUGUCAUCUGCAUGUGUUCGCUGGGGACACAAUGAAGAUUCUGUUCAUCCCAGACACUGCCCAGGGCCUUGGAACUGCAAAUCUCAACUUGUUGGACAUGCAGGAGACACUCUGUUGGCAGAGGGAGUUGCCCACAGGGAAAUUGUCACCUGCAGGUGUCCGAUAAUGGGAAGAUUUGCAAGAGAUCUUAGAGGGGCUGGAUCUAGGAAGAGUUGAGCAGGAAAAACAGAGUGACCCUCGCCCACUCCAGUUGUAGAAAAACCAGUGCCAUCCCAACAGAAUCUCUGGUGCUUUCAUAGAUAACACUAUUGAUUAUAAUCAGCAGGAUUGAUGAUGUUUGUUUCUCCUUGACAAGAGUUUGGGGGGCUUCUGCCUGCUUUGUGAAGGGAGCCCCUGGGCCCAUUCCCUCCCACAGGGGCUGCACUUGGUGGGUGCCGGGGCUUUCAUUUGGGCCCACUCGGAGCCCCUAAGCUGGGCUGGGGACCAAGGGCGAGGCUGGCCCGGCUGUGAUGCCUCUGGCACGUGGGACAUCAGGGGGAGCGUGUCACAAUGGGGGCAGCUGGAAGAGGCCCCCGCAGGUGACGCUGGCCCAGCACAGCCUGGGCAAGCAGUGAAUGCAGACGUGGUGGGGCUGGGCUGAGCUGGGCCAGGGCACAAGCGCCGCACCCGGACCUGCAUUGUCCCCCUGCAUCCAGGGCCAGCCCCUUGUGCCAGCGCCUUGGCCAGGGCACGGGGCUGCUGCUGCCCCACUGGGACAGACCAUGGUGUCCAAAUCAGCCCUUGUCCUGGUUGUGCUGCUCCUCUUCCACUUCCCACAUCCCAUGGUGAAUUGGUUCCAUGAGGAUGUGCAGCACCGUGUGGAGGAGCGGAAACAAUCCCCCCCCAGAGGCACCUGAGCCUGGCAGGGGACCCCAGCUCCUAGGGGACCCCAGCUCCUGGCUGCCUUGCAGCAGCUGCAGAGCUUCUGGGGAAUUGCUCAGCUGCUGUUCCUGCCUUUGGAGCUGUGGCUAAGGCACAGAAGGGCAGCCAAGAGGCAGAGAGCAGCGGCCCGGAGAGCUGAAGAAGAGGCAAGAAGGAGGAAGAUGGAAAUCGAGCGGAGAAUGCGGCUUCUUGAGAAGAGAUACAGUGACAUGGAACAAAUGCGCAGGGCCGUGAAAGAAAUAAAAAGCAAAUGGCCAGGCUGAUUUGAAUGAAUAGGGAUACAAACUGGAUGGUGAAGGUAGGCUUGGCAGGCUUUGGAGGAGCAUAGGCAGCAGCCUGUGUGAAGGAAAGCUUCCUGCUGGAGAUGCUCUUUGGGCUGGCCAAGGCGAGCCACACAUCUUUGUGAGCAGCCAGCCCACAGAGCUGCGCUUGCUGCCGAGCACAGCCUGUGCUGGGGCAGAGGCUCAGGGCUCCUGCCAGACCCUGCCCCCCUUCCCUCUAUCUCUUCAUUGUUAUAUUAAUAUAUUAUUCUAUAUUAACUGCAUCUGUUAAUGAUUUUCCCUGCUGCAACAUUGCACUUGCUCCUGGAUGGAGGUGUUUGAAGGAGGAUUGGGCCAGAUUGAUGGGCACUGAUUUAACUUCUUGUUUAGUUAAGAAAUAAUUUGGGUAUUUUAUUAUUUUCUCCUAGAAUUACUUUAUUUUAUAGUAAUACUAUUGUUAAUUAUAGUAGUAAUUAUAACAGGAACAAAUACUAAUCCUGUGAAAACAAUUUUACAUUCUACCAUAUAGUAAUUAUCAUUCAUAGUAAUAAUUUCUGCGAAUUAUGUGAAUAAACCACAAUUGAAGGAUGUUAAAUUUUUACCAUACCGAGUAAUUUUUCAUAAUCUUCAGUAUUCAAAAAACCUUGUCAUUGUAUAAAUUCAUAUAUAAUUUAUAACAGUGCAGAAAGUAAUUCUUAACAUAAGGAUGAUUAUAACUGUGAUUUGUUAUUGAAAAUGUUUAAAAUAUGUGAUAUUUUUUUCAAAGUGAUGCUGCCUGCCUUCCCUUCUUUGGGAACCCUUUUCCCUCUGGGAGCUGCAGUCAGUGCAAAGUUCCAAUAAAGAUGGUGCUUGAACAAACAGUGUAUCUGUGAGCGUCCAGAGUGACCUCCAAGGCCAUCCAGUUCUAUUGUAAAUGCAGGUGAACCCAAUGGGAAGAAUGAUAAUGUCUG